rnacentral:lncRNA from 1 species
GGUAUCCCAACCUCGCUACCUGGGAAGACGAGUUCGGCCCAGGUCCGAGGCGGCCCCUAGAGAUCUCUCGCUAUAGGCGACUUGGGAAGACGAGUUCGGCCCAAGCGCUUGGCUAACGACCCCCUCGAAGCCUCUCCUAACAUAGGACUAAGUCGUGCCCGCAGAGUCGACCGAACCUAUUCAAAAAAUAUCGACGUGUCAACUUGUCCAAGUGUACGGCGACCUUCGCUAUAAGGCCGGCGUACACCCCCUACAUACUAUUCUCGCAUUUGUGCCAUCGUGCAUUGGCACCCCGUACUCCUGUUGUUUUCUAGAACAACAACAUUGUGCAUGACCACACAGUCAGUCAUGACCUCCCAAAUCUGAUCUUUCGACCAGGUGAGAGCAGGUUAUCGGACGAUGGCAAAUCGAGCCUGCAACACACCAAAUGCCCACUCGACAUCCUUCCUACAUGCUUUCUAUUGCGUCGCAAACCAAGAUCUUGCUCCUCCUGCGAGUGCGUUUGAGAUUGUCUUCACAAAGGUCAACCAUCUUGGAUAGAUGCCAUCUGCCAGGUAGUAUCCUUUGUUUUACACAUGGCCAUUGAUCUCAUAGUUCACCAGAGGAGCAGUGUCUUCAACGAGCUUGGUAAACACAUUCGAGCAUUGCAGCACAUUGAUGUUAUUGUGCGAUCUUGCCGGUCAUUUCUUGAAGAGAUGGUCUCUUCACAAGAAAGAUAAGGCAAAAAAAAGUCCACAUUGUACUAGAUUUGACCUUUUCUUCACACUUAUUUAUUUAUUUUUAUUCAUCUAACCAUUAAUCGUAAGAUAAGACAAUAAUAGAUGAGAUAUUGUAUGGUAUGUUUUUUUGUUUUUUCUAAAUGACAUGAAACGCAUAAAAAAAGGCUGCAUUAUCAAUUAUUGUACAUGCCCUAAGCUAUAUCAAAAUACUACUAUCGGUAUGCAAUCAUUUUACAGCUACAUAGCGUCACUGUUAGAAAACAAAAAUCAUCCUUGAACUUUGUUACACGGAAGGACCUCAUUGCCAGUUUGGCACCAAUACCGGCUAAGAGGCGCGAGCGAGCCCCUGGUGAGAGACGAAGGCGAGAGAAAAGAAGAGAACGAGCAACGUCAUAUGAUAUCCUCUCGUUCCCGUGUUGCUUGAGCCUUCCUCGUAGGGCCGAAGCGUGGAGGUA